UACGUAGGAGGCAAGCGUUGUCCGGAAUCACUGGGCGUAAAGCGCGUGUAGGCGGUUCGGUAAGUCUGCUGUGAAAGUCCAGGGCUCAACCCUGGGAUGCCGGUGGAUACUGUCGGACUAGAGUACGGAAGAGGCGAGUGGAAUUCCCGGUGUAGCGGUGAAAUGCGCAGAUAUCGGGAGGAACACCAAUUGCGAAGGCAGCUCGCUGGGACGUCACUGACGCUGAGACGCGAAAGCGUGGGGAGCA
rnacentral:rRNA from 1 species